CCUAGCCGCACACUCUUCCUUCCCACUCUUGGCUUAACCUAGCCGCACGAGUGAAGGCGGAUCUAGCACCUUGGCAGUGGCAAUGAUGAAUCCUCCUCCUUCCAAGCAGCGUGGAUCAGUGCCAUGGCGACCUAGCGCGCUCCCUUCCCGACCUUGACCUCGAAGAACGGCUUCCCCAAGAUCGCUUUCCCGUUCGUGUAUGAUUUCCUUCUUCCAUCAAACAAUCACUCCUAAUGUCAUCUCAAUCUCAAUUUUGCAGAGGUGUUGCUAUAUUGGAUGUGGUGAAUUUAUUUGGGCAGAUCCUGGAGAUAGGGAGGGGGAGGUUGUGGCUGCGGGCAAUGGCAAACACAACCAACAGAGGCAUGGUGCUCUCCGCUGGUUCUACUCCCUGGUUGAACAAGCUCCUGAUCCAUGUUACAAGACAGGUGAAUAGCAAUGAAUUUCAGAGAUAAAGAUUGAGCUUUGAGGAAACAGGCCUUGACAAGGAUUGGCUGAAUUAUAGUCGUGAUUUUCUGCUUUUCAGAGCAUUUUGCUGCCGAAUUGAAUACUAUUUGGAAAUUUCUCAUAGUAAUAUUGUUUGUUCCACUCCUUUUAUUAUUCUAUGAAGAGGAAUAAAGAAUCAAAUUGUUGUUUACUUCAGCAAUGUCAUGCCCCUGUCGUCCGGCCUCCGCGCUGGUUUAAGGUGACUGCUUUUUACAAUCUGAAAGCGAAAAGGGAGCUAUACACAACCGCUCCAUAUAUUUUUGGAGAUACGGUACAUAUUAACGGUUCUUACAGUUUGCAACUUCAUGUUACAGCACUUACACAUGCACAUGCAUAAACUGAGACUCAAUCACAUUAGAAUAGGACUACAUUUUUAUUUGCCUAGAUUCGAAGAUGUAGCAAAGACAGUUAAGUAAUACACACGGACAAUUUUCAAUUAUGAUAAUAUUAGGGAAGUAUCAAAGGUGAGGUGUAUUUCGUACAAGGUUUGAUGAGGACAUCAAUACAAUUGUUACACCCACAACUCCUGCUGCUAUAAAUACUGGACCAAUUACUAGAGCUCGCGCACGCCAACUAAAUUACCAGGUACUUUCGUUUCUUGGUAAUGAUUCUAAUGUUCAUGAGAAUAUGAUGCUGCCUAAAUUGGAUACAUUUGUUUUGUUUACAAA